CAGAAACUUAAAGGAAGUUGACGGGGCCCGGCACAAGCGGAGGAGCAUGUGGUUUAAUUCGAUGAUACGCGAGGAACCUUACCUGGGCUCGAACGUAAGAUGACUGUAGGUGAAAGCUUACAUCUCUUCGGAGCAUUUUACGAGGUGCUGCAUGGUUGUCGUCAGCUCGUGCCGUGAGGUGUCGGGUUAAGUCCCAUAACGAGCGCAACCCUACCUUUAGUUGCCAUCAGGUAAUGCUGGGGACUCUAAAGGAACUGCCUACGCAAGUAGUGAGGAAGGCGGGGAUGACGUCAAAUCAGCACGGCCCUUACGUCCAGGGCUACACACGUGCUACAAUGGCCGAUACAGAGGGCAGCUACCUGGUGACAGGAUGCAAAUCUCCAAAGUCGGUCUCAGUUCGGAUCGGAGUCUGCAACCCGACUCCGUGAAGUUGGAUUCGCUAGUAAUCGCGCAUCAGCCAUGGCGCGGUGAAUACGUUCCCGGGCCUU
rnacentral:rRNA from 1 species